rnacentral:rRNA from 1 species
UGGGGAAUAUUGCACAAUGGGCGAAAGCCUGAUGCAGCAACGCCGCGUGAGUGAUGAAGGUCUUCGGAUUGUAAAGCUCUGUCUUUUGGGACGAUAAUGACGGUACCAAAGGAGGAAGCCACGGCUAACUACGUGCCUGCAGCCGCGGUAAUACGUAGGUGGCGAGCGUUGUCCGGAUUUACUGGGCGUAAAGGGUGCGUAGGCGGAUGUUUAAGUGAGAUGUGAAAUACCCGGGCUUAACUUGGGUGCUGCAUUUCAAACUGGAUAUCUAGAGUGCAGGAGAGGAGAAUGGAAUUCCUAGUGUAGCGGUGAAAUGCGUAGAGAUUAGGAAGGACACCAGUGGCGAAGGCGAUUCUCUGGACUGUAACUGACGCUGAGGCACGAAAGCGUGGGUAGCAAACAGGAUUAGAUACCCUGGUAGUCCACGCCGUAAACGAUGAGUACUAGGUGUAGGAGGUAUCGACCCCUUCUGUGCCGCAGUAAACACAUUAAGUACUCCGCCUGGGAAGUACGAUCGCAAGAUUAAAAC